GGGGGGAGGGGCCCUCACCUCUCGCCGUCGCGGCCGUCGAAGAAGACGAAGUCGCCGGCGCGGACGCACCUGGCGCAGGAAGGAGGCCGAGAAGCGAAUCCCCGUUUCGCGGACGAGGGGACCGAAGCCCGGAGAAGCCAAGUGACUCGCCCGGGGUCACCCAGCAGGGUCUGGUACAGCGCUCCGCGCACAGUCGGGCACUCGAAUACGACGGAGCGAAAUGCCGUUAUCAUCAAAGUUCCGGACUUCUCUGAGCCUCGGUUUUCUCAUCUGUAAAAUGGGGAUAAGCUCCCUCUAGACCGUCAGCUCGCCGCGGGCGGGGAACGGGUCCGCCGCCUCCGGUCUCGCGGACGCUCCCAGGCGGUCAGUACGGUGCCCCGCCCACGGUGGAGCACUCGAAAAGGGUCGCGAUGCCAUCACGAUCGGGAUGCUUAAUGAAGUACUGGACCUCUCCGGGCCUCAGCUUCCUCAUCUGUCAAAUCGAGCGCCCGGUACAGUGCU